AUUGAACGCUGGCGGCAGGCCUAACACAUGCAAGUCGAACGAGUGGCGGACGGGUGAGUAAUGUCUGGGAAACUGCCCGAUGGAGGGGGAUAACUACUGGAAACGGUAGCUAAUACCGCAUACCAUCGGAUGUGCCCAGAUGGGAUUAGCUUGUAGGUGGGGUAACGGCUCACCUAGGCGACGAUCCCUAGCUGGUCUGAGAGGAUGACCAGCCACACGGGAACUGAGACACGGGCCAGACUCCUAGGGGAGGCAGCAGUGGGGAAUAUUGGAAAAUGGGCGAAAGCCUGAUGCAGCCAUGCAGGGUGGAUGAAGAAGGCCUUAGGGUUGUAAAGUACUUUCAGCGGGGAGGCGUUACCCGCAGAAGAAGUACCGGCUAACUCCGUGCCAGCAGCCGCGUUAAUAC
rnacentral:rRNA from 1 species